rnacentral:rRNA from 1 species
UACGUAGGGGGGCAAGCGUUGUCCGGAAUUCGAUUGGGCGUAAAGAGCGUGUAGGCGGCCCGGUAAGUCCGCUGUGAAAGUCCAGGGCUCAACCCUGGGAUGCCGGUGGAUACUGUCGGGCUCGAGUCCGGAAGAGGAGUGUGGAAUUCCUGGUGUGAGCGGUGAAAUGCGCAGAUAUCAGGAGGAACACCAAUGGCGAAGGCAGCACUCUGGGACGUGACUGACGCUGAGACGCGAAAGCGUGGGGAGGCAAACAGG